AACGAACGCUGGCGGCAUGCCUAACACAUGCAAGUCGAACGAGACCUUCGGGUCUAGUGGCGCACGGGUGCGUAACGCGUGGGAAUCUGCCCUUAGGUACGGAAUAACUCAGGGAAACUUGAGCUAAUACCGUAUAAUGACUCCGGUCCAAAGAUUUAUCGCCUAAGGAUGAGCCCGCGUCGGAUUAGCUAGUUGGUGAGGUAAAAGCUCACCAAGGCGACGAUCCGUAGCGGUCUGAGAGGAUGAUCAGCCACACUGGGACUGAGACACGGCCCAGACUCCUACGGGAGGCAGCAGUGGGGAAGUAUUGGACAAUGGGCGAAAGCCUGAUCCAGCAAUGCCGCGUGAGUGAUG
rnacentral:rRNA from 1 species